rnacentral:rRNA from 1 species
AUGUCUGCAGGUCGCUCUCAGCACACGGCUACCUCGAGCAUGCGGCGCCGGCAAGAGGCCGAGCGCACCGUGGCAGAGGAGCGUGAGCGAGCGGCUGUAGCAGCGGCUGCUGCGGCGGCAAGAGUGUCGAGGCUGGCUGCAGCGGAGCUGGCAGCAGCCAGAGCGGAGGUAGAAGCAGCCAGGGCGGAGGUAGAAGCAGCAGCAGCAGCAGAAGCAGCCCGUGAGGCUACGGCGGAUGCCAAGGCACUCCGCGGCAGCCCCGGCAGCUCCAGCAGCUCCGCGCCUGCGGACGACGGCGCCGACGCAGAUCGCGCCAAAGUGGCGCAGGAGCGGACGGCGCAGUGGGCAGCCGAGCACGCCCGCGCUCCAGGUGGAGGCGCGCACCGCGACGGCGGCUGCAACGACCAGGACCGCGGCCUCUACGAGGUCCGGACUGUGGUCAGGGAUGUUGGUUCCAGUGUUGGGUGGCCUACCCUCACUAAAACCAACUACGUCGAGUGGGCCGGGAUCAUGAAGGUCAGGCUCCAGGUGCGGCGCAUGUGGGAGGCAGUCCAGGACAGCAACGUCGACCACCUAGAGGAUCGACGGGCGCUGGACGCCCUCAUCGUCGCAGUCCCGCCCGAGAUGCAGUUCUCGCUUUCCAACAAGCGGACUGCCAAGGAGGCUUGGGACGCCAUCGCCGCAGCACGCAUCGGCAGCGACCGUGCUCGCAAGUCCACCCUGCAGGCACUUCGUAAGGAGUGGGAGAACCUGGGCUUCAAGCCAGGUGAGGACGUUGAUGACUUUGCUCUCCGUCUCAACACUCUGCUGCAGAAGAUGGUGAAGUUUGGCGAUGCCACCUACACCGAGGAGAGAGCUGUCGAGAAGCUUUUUCGGUGCAUUCCCGAGAAGUACAAGCAGAUGGCUCGCUCGAUCGAGUCGUUGCUGGACCUCUCCACGAUGACGAUCGAGGAGGCGAUAGGUCGACUCAAGGUCGUCGACACCGACGAGCCACAGCCCCCCUCGGGGCCCGUCACCACCGGCGGGAAGCUGCUCCUAACUCGGGAGCAGUGGGAUCCCAGCCUUGGUGACAAGAAGAAGGGGGAGCCUUCCUCCUCGACGGGCGGCCGCAAGCGUGGCAAGCAGCGUAAGGCGCGAAGAGGCCCCCCGGGCAGGGCACAAGGACGUGCCGAAGGUGACGCCCGCGGAGGCGCCAAGGACGGCGCCGCUGGCAAGCCCAGGCCGGCACAAGACAACAGUUGCCACAACUGUGGCCGGUUUGGCCAUUGGGCCAAUGAGUGUCGGCAACCACGACAAGGCCAGGCUCACAUCGCACAGGCGAAGGAGAAGGAGACGGCUCUGUUCAUGGCACAUGCAAGCAUUGAGCUACCCUCGGCGACUCCAGCUGAAAGGUCUAACAGCUACCUCGUUCUCAGACUUGAACACUAUUUGCCCCUUUGCUUUGCCAUAGCUGUGGAGGAGGACCGUGAUAAAUCGAUCAAUCAGUUCUCCCUUGGUAUCGUCAACUACCAGUCGUUGCACAACUGA